rnacentral:rRNA from 1 species
UAGGAUUUCCUUAGUAGCUGCGAGCGAACAGGAAAAAGCCCAGCACUGAAUCCCGCGGCCGUUUCGGACGCUGGGAAAUGUGGUGUUAGGGAGGAUCCAUUUAUCCCGAGAUUGUGCGGCGUGUCCAAGUCCUUCUUGAACGGGGCCAUAACCCAUAGAGGGUGCCAGGCCCGUAGUGACUGCUGCCAAUUUCGGGAGGAUCUCUCCUCAGAGUCGGGUUGCUUGAGAGUGCAGCCCUAAGUGGGUGGUAAACUCCAUCUAAGGCUAAAUAUAACCACGAGACCGAUAGCGAACAAGUACCGUGAGGGAAAGUUGAAAAGCACUUUGAAGAGAGAGUUCAAUAGUACGUGAAACCGUUCAGGGGUAAACCUGAGAAACCCGAAAGUUCGAAAGGGGAAAUUCAAUCGUGUCUCGAUUCAGUGUUGACAUUAUUGUGCGACAGGAAACAAAUUCGUUUGUAUGCCAGCGCCAAUUGCGUUUUCAAAUUGUGAUCGAAUGCGUGCACUUUUCCCCUAGUAGGACGUUGCGAUCCGUUGGGUGCAGAUCUAAGGCCCGUAGUGGAGCCCAAUCGGUUUGGUUUUAUUAUCAUUCCGUGUUGGACCUAUGGUGUCCCGGUCUGCUUGCUCGACGGUAGAAUAGAUGGUGCAGGGCCGCAGCUUUUUGCGUCUGACCCAUGGCAAGCCCUUUCCUGUGUUCAGCAGUCGGACCUAGUGCCGUCUCUGACCUGGAAAGACUGUUUUAGCUGUGGUGUUCUUGGACAGACUCUGUUUAAACACCAAUCUGCAACGCUUUAGCUUUGGGUACUUUCAGGACCCGUCUUGAAACACGGACCAAGGAGUCUAGCAUGUGCGCGAGUCAUUGGGAAUUUAACUAAACCUAAAGGCGAAAUGAAAGUAAAGGUUUGGCCUUCGGGCCAUGACCUAGGGAAGAUGGGUGGUUUUACAAUUACUGUAGCCGCCCCGCACUCCCGGGGCGUCUCAUUCUCAUUACGAGAAGAGGCGCACCAAGAGCGUACACGCUGGGACCCGAAAGAUGGUGAACUAUGCCUGGUCAGGACGAAGUCAGGGGAAACCCUGAUGGAGGUCCGUAGCGAUUCUGACGUGCAAAUCGAUCGUCGGAACUGGGUAUAGGGGCGAAAGACUAAUCGAACCAUCUAGUAGCUGGUUCCCUCCGAAGUUUCCCUCAGGAUAGCUGGCGCUCAUUGAUACGAGUCUCAUCUGGUAAAGCGAAUGAUUAGAGGCAUUGGGGUCGAAACGACCUCAACCUAUUCUCAAACUUUAAAUGGGUGAGAUCUUCGGCUUGCUUAAAUGAAUUUUUUUGAAGCCGCAAGACACGGAUUAGAGUGCCAAGUGGGCCAUUUUUG